UCCUGCCCACCAGGUUUCGCCGAAACCUCCCGAGGGUGACCUCUACGCCUUGACUCGGUGCCCAGCUCGCCGUCUCCUAAGACCCGCGGUCCACGCCUACUGCCUCGCCCCGUCCAGCGCCGGCCUCCAGACUUGUUCGCGAACUCUCCUUACAGCCCCCUCCGCAACCCCGGGCCCCCAGCUCCCGGCCGCGCGCGCCCAGCCGACAGGCGAUCUCGGGUUCACUUCGAGUGUGUUGGGCUCUCCAGGAGUCGGAAAAUGAACCUUCGAUGUCCUCCAGAGAAGAAACGUGAAAACACAAACCAGGCUUCCGAAAAUCUGAUUCAAAAGAGGCAGUCACAUCAUGGUACAUAAAUAAUCUGUAGUAAGAGGGAAGAGAAGGAGAGAUGAGACACAACGAGAAGACCUCCUACCUUCCCCACAAUGUUUCAGUCCCAGGUUCUAGUCUAUUCCUGAGUCUUCUUUCAUCCCUGCCCAUGGGUUCUGAAAACAAUCCUAUAUCCUUAAAAUAAUUCCCCCAUUCUGCUUUGAAUGGAUUCCUGUUAUUAGCCACCAGAAAAUUUUCCUAAGUAACAUAUUUUCAUGGAAAGAUUGGUUUCUGUUGCAGUUAAAAACUCAAAAUAACACUAACUUAAGCAAAAUAAAGUGUAUCCCUCUCAUGUAAGUGUAGGCAGUGCAGGGUUGAUAUGAUGGCUCUCUGAUCAUCAUGGACGCAGGCUCCUACCCUGUGGCUUCACCAUCCUGAAGAUGCAGCUUCUACCAUCAAGCAGGCUGCUCAAGCUCCAGCCAUCACAUCCUUAUUCCAGGCAGCAGAAAGGUGAUAGGGGCAGAAAAGAACAUCCAUCUAUUUCAAAACACUUGCAGAAGUUGUAUACAUCACUGCGAUUACACCACAUUGGUCAACACUUAACUAUAAGUGAUGU